CCCUGACAGUCGUAAUGUGCGGCUGACUUAACCCAGACAGGAGAUUCUCAUG
rnacentral:sRNA from 12 species